CGUUCCCGGGCCUUGUACACACCGCCCGUCAAGCCAUGAAGUUGGGAGUACCUGAAGUCGAUCACCGCAAGGAGUCGCCUAGGGUAAAAUCAAUGACUGGGGCU
rnacentral:rRNA from 1 species